rnacentral:piRNA from 1 species
UGACUAGCCUUAUGAUCAUAGGGAGACAC